rnacentral:rRNA from 1 species
GAUGAACGCCGGCGGUGUGCCUAAUACAUGCAAGUCGUACGCACUGGCCCAACUGAUUGAUGGUGCUUGCACCUGAUUGACGAUGGAUCACCAGUGAGUGGCGGACGGGUGAGUAACACGUAGGUAACCUGCCCCGGAGCGGGGGAUAACAUUUGGAAACAGAUGCUAAUACCGCAUAACAACAAAAGCCACAUGGCUUUUGUUUGAAAGAUGGCUUUGGCUAUCACUUUGGGAUGGACCUGCGGUGCAUUAGCUAGUUGGUAAGGUAACGGCUUACCAAGGCGAUGAUGCAUAGCCGAGUUGAGAGACUGAUCGGCCACAAUGGAACUGAGACACGGUCCAUACUCCUACGGGAGGCAGCAGUAGGGAAUUUUCCACAAUGGGCGCAAGCCUGAUGGAGCAACACCGCGUGAGUGAAGAAGGGUUUCGGCUCGUAAAGCUCUGUUGUUGGAGAAGAACGUGCGUGAGAGUAACUGUUCACGCAGUGACGGUAUCCAACCAGAAA